UUUCACAUACCAUUUAAACUGUUUAAGAACUUAUGUCUGUCUGUGUCAUCCCUCUUUUUCAAAAGAAAGUCUUUUUGUCACUUCCAGCUGAAUCUACCAUGAAAGACUUCAGAAUCCAGGAAGAGAGACUGACUGGGCAACAUCUUAUUCAGGGUCUUGCUCUAUUGUCCAGGCUGGAGUGUAGUGACGCCAUCACAGCUGACUGCAGCCUCAACCUCCCAGGCUCAAGCGAUCCUCCCACCUCAGCCUCCUAAGUGACUGAGACUAUAGGUGCUUGCUACUAUGCCCAACUAAUAUUUGGACUUUUCCUAUAUGUGGGUUCCAGAGGGCUGACUGUGAAACAUGAGUAUGCAUGGAUUUUGGUAUAUGCAGAGAUGGGGGGGCUGGAACCAAUCCUCUCUGUAUACC
rnacentral:lncRNA from 1 species